rnacentral:rRNA from 1 species
GACGAACGCUGGCGGCGUGCUUAAUACAUGCAAGUCGAGCGAGGUCCAUCCGGGGGUAACCCCGGAGAAGACCUAGCGGCGAACGGGUGAGGAACACGUGAGCAACCUGCCCCGAAGACUGGGAUAACACCGGGAAACCGGUGCUAAUACCGGAUGCCCUCCAGAGAUCGCAUGGUCACCGGAGGAAAUGGAUUCCGCUUCGGGAGGGGCUCGCGGCCUAUCAGCUUGUUGGUGGGGUAACGGCCCACCAAGGCUACGACGGGUAGCUGGUCUGAGA